AUAUUGCACAAUGGAGGGAACUCCGAUGCAGCGACGCCGCGUGAGUGAAGAAGGUCUUCGGAUCGUAAAACUCUGUCCUCGGAGCAGCAAAAAAUGACGGUAGCCAAGGACGAAGACCCGGCUAACUACGUGCUAGAAGCCGCGGUAAUACGUAGGGGGCGAGCGUUGUCAGGAUUUACUGGGCGUAAAGGGUCAGUAGGCGGUUGUAUAUGUCAGGUGUAAAAGGCUAUGGCUUAACCAUAGCUGGCACUUGAAACUGUACAACUUGAGUGCAGGAGAGGUAAGUGGAAUUCCUAGUGUAGCGGUGAAAUGCGUAGAUAUUAGGAGGAACACCAGUGGCGAAGGCGACUUACUGGACUGUAACUGACGCUGAGUCACGAAAGCGUGGGUAGCAAGCA
rnacentral:rRNA from 1 species